AUUUUUGCGUUUGAAUAAUAUUUUAAUUUGAUUCUUUAAUUAUGAGAAUCUGGGGGAAAGAUAAAAUCUAGAAAAUUUAAAGUUGCUAAAAGUUUGUAGAGAAAUAGAAAGUAUAUAUUUUAUCUGUACAUUAUAGAUAUUUAAUAUAUUUGUAUAAUUAUUCUUAUAUCCAUAAAAUUUAUCUCCCUAGUUUUUAUAUACUUAUAAAAAAACAAAUAAUAAUAUAAAUGAAGAACAAGCUUAAUUUUUCUGGCGAAGAAAAUAUAUUUUCAGUACAGUGACCUUAAACCAUUAAAAUUCUCAACUCUAUGAAAAUAUAUCUACAGCAAAAUCGAAGAACUUCGACCAGCUGCAAAAGCUACCUAACAUGAAACUAAAAUUAAAAUUCUAUUCCUGUCCCAAGCGAAAUUAUUACGAAACGCACUAGAAUCAACCAGGUAGAGUAAACAAACCAGGAUCCAUAAAAUUCGCACGACAUUAGAAACUAGAAACCUAACCUAACCUUCACUGAACCUCGCAUUAGUGACCAAUUCCUAUGUAUUACUACUACCGUAAAGAUUCAUUUCACGGCGUUUCGCCAGAAUUCAUAUCGGUUUGUUGGAGAGCCGUGAAAAAUCGUAAUCCACGUGAUCCAGCUCCUUAAGUAUCACCUCGGUUUUUUUUUCUUUCUUUUUUCAGAGCUCUCUCGGGCCGCGCAUACCGUGCCAAUUAUUCUCCGCACGGAAGUUCCACGGCUUGGCGUGAGAGAUUGAUGCGAGAGUCGAUGCACUCCACGCUUAUGUUUUAUUCAUACCUUUCACCAGGACUUUGUCAUUAUUUACAAGCAUUAUUCACCAUGGAAUGGACGUUGAAACUGUAAUUUUCGCGACGAAGGCGUGUUCCGCGCCUCGAUUCCAUUCUCCGCGUGAAAAAACCCUUCUACAAGCUCUAUAUUUAUCAACACGUCGGAUACUUUCGACGUUGGAGUCCAAACCGACCCUCGACAUUCUUAAGAAUUGGAGGAUGAUGCCUGUAAUUUUGAAAGAGACACGUGGAGAUUAAAAAUUAAUUAUUAUUCAGGUACUUUUGAAGAAAUGGAUUAUAUUUAUCACUUAAAACUUCUGAAUCAGAAAACUGUAAUUAUCUGAUUUAUCAAAUUAUUUCAAUAUGAAUCAAUAAGGCAAUUUGCAAGAAAAAAACAUAAAAUGCUGAGAAGAUCGCACUUAAAUAUGAAGUUGAAGAAACCAUAAAUUGACAAAACGAAUAAAUUAUAACGAAAGUUAUAAUAAUAUAUAUUAUUAUAUAUAUAAAUAAUAAUGAGACAGAGGUGAAAAUUUCACCUGAGAG